UACGGGGGGAGCAAGCGUUGUUCGGAUUUACUGGGCGUAAAGGGCGCGUAGGCGGCCAGCACAAGUCAGUUGUGAAAUCUCCGAGCUUAACUCGGAAAGGUCAACUGAUACUGUGCGGCUAGAGUGCGGAAGGGGCAACUGGAAUUCUUGGUGUAGCGGUGAAAUGCGUAGAUAUCGGAAGGAACACCAGUGGCGAAGGCGGCUCUCUGGACUCAUACUGACACUGAGGCACGAAAGCGUGGGGAUCAAACAGG
rnacentral:rRNA from 1 species